rnacentral:lncRNA from 1 species
GGUGCCGUUUACCACGGCCGGGCGUCUGCUGUGUUUUUGGUGUGCUAGUGCAUUCUGCUACAUUUUGCUCUUGAGGAAAUAAUCUAGUUCUUUAAAUGUUUAUAUUGUUUUAUUCUCUUAGUUAAAACAAAUCGCCUUUUUGUUUGGUUCUAAAGACAAAGUUCAAUAUCGUAUACGUGUUAUCAAACAAACUCUUGCCCUAGUAAAGAAAUGUAAUAUAAGAGAUUUAAAGAAGUACGGACCAAAAAGCCACUUAAGUACUACGCUAUCAUCCUACCACACUACUAUGUAUGCUGCUCUGACCUACUUUAUUGAAGCCCUGAAGUACUUACUCAGCUCCAAGUUACCACACGGAUGCAACACUUUAUUGCACCACAACUUACACUACUUCAAGCUACCACAAGGAGGCCCCCCAAAUAUUACACAACAAAGGCACCAGAGUACUACACAACAGAUUAUGCUACGCAAAACCAAGCUACUAUAUUGAAGCUCUGAAGUACUACUAUUUACACUGCCCCAAGCUAUAUCAUCGCUACAGUUGCCUACUACACCACAACAGAAGCAACCAAAAUCGUACGGUGAAGUCCUAGGCAACACCAACAAAGGAUCCUCUUACUGGGUUUCCCCUGAAGGUCAGAUAUUCACUUUGACAUGGGCCGCUGAUGAAGCCGGUUUCCAGCUUAAAGGUGAUCACUUGCCCGUCGCUCCCGUCCACGAAUACGAGCUCCAGUUGCCCCUGUCCACAUUCCUUUCAACUGCAAAGGCUAUAAAAUUAAAAAAAUUGUUAAAACCCUGACUGAAUAAAUACAUGUUAAUAUGAAGCAGA